GACGAACGCUGGCGGCGUGCUUAACACAUGCAAGUCGUACGGUAAGGCCCUUUCGGGGGUACACGAGUGGCGAACGGGUGAGUAACACGUGAGUAACCUGCCCACAACUUUGGGAUAACGCUAGGAAACUGGUGCUAAUACUGGAUAUGUGCUCCUGCUGCAUGGUGGGGGUUGGAAAGCUCCGGCGGUUGUGGAUGGACUCGCGGCCUAUCAGCUUGUUGGUGGGGUAGUGGCCUACCAAGGCGGCGACGGGUAGCCGGCCUGAGAGGGUGACCGGCCACAGUGGGACUGAGAUACGGCCCAGACGCCUACGGGAGGCAGCAGUGGGGAAUAUUGCACAAUGGGCGCAAGCCUGAUGCAGCAACGCCGCGUGCGGGAUGACGGCCUUCGGGUUGGAAACCGCUUUCAGCAGGGACGAAGCUUUUUGUGACGGUACCUGCAGAAGAAGCACCGGCUAACUACGUG
rnacentral:rRNA from 1 species